rnacentral:rRNA from 1 species
UACGAAGGAGGCUAGCGUUGCUCGGAAUCACUGGGCGUAAAGGGUGCGUAGGCGGGUCUUUAAGUCAGGGGUGAAAUCCUGGAGCUCAACUCCAGAACUGCCUUUGAUACUGAAGAUCUUGAGUUCGGGAGAGGUGAGUGGAACUGCGAGUGUAGAGGUGAAAUUCGUAGAUAUUCGCAAGAACACCGGUGGCGAAGGCGGCUCUCUGGGACGGUGACUGACGCUGAGACGCGAAAGCGUGGGGAGCAAACAGG